AUAUUACUGAAAUGUGCUCCGUUAGGGGCAGAAAACACAGCGCUGACCCCUCCCAUACAGAAAGCAGCUGGAAAAGAAUUGAAUCUGGAAGGUGCUCCGUUAGAGGCAGAAAACACAGCGCUGACCCCUCCCAUACAGAAAGCAGCUGGAAAAGAAUUGAAACUGGAAGAGACAAAAAACCUAAUAGAAGGGGCAGAAAACACAGUGACGACUCCUACCGAACAGAGAGCAGCUGGUAAAGAAGUUAAUCUGAAAGAUUGGCACCAGGUGAAAUGAUUCAAAGAGAACAUCAUUCUGGAUGGAAAGACUGCGCACCCUGCUAUUAGAGUCAAUCAAAGAAAGCGUGCUAGUUACAUUAAAGAAAAAGAUACAGAAAAACCCUCUGUUAGAAUGCAUCUCCAUGUAUUUUCUCAAGAGAGUUUCAGUUCAGGACGACACUAUUGGGAAGUGAAGGUAAAGGAUCAAUCAACA